rnacentral:rRNA from 1 species
AUUGAACGCUGGCGGCAUGCUUUACACAUGCAAGUCGAACGGUAACAGCACUUCGGUGGCUGACGAGUGGCGAACGGGUGAGUAAUACAUCGGAACGUGCCUAGUAGUGGGGGAUAACUACUCGAAAGAGUAGCUAAUACCGCAUGAGAUCUAAGGAUGAAAGCAGGGGACCUUCGGGCCUUGCGCUACUAGAGCGGCUGAUGGCAGAUUAGGUAGUUGGUGGAUAAAAGCUUACCAAGCCGACGAUCUGUAGCUGGUCUGAGAGGACGACCAGCCACACUGGGACUGAGACACGGCCCAGACUCCUACGGGAGGCAGCAGUGGGGAAUUUUGGACAAUGGGCGCAAGCCUGAUCCAGCAAUGCCGCGUGCAGGAUGAAGGCCUUCGGGUUGUAAACUGCUUUUGUACGGAACGAAAAGCCCUCUUCUAAUACAGGAGGGUCAUGACGGUACCGUAAGAAUAAGCACCGGCUAACUACGCG